rnacentral:rRNA from 1 species
AUUGAACGCUGGCGGCAGGCUUAACACAUGCAAGUCGAGCGGGGUGAUGGUGCUUGCACUAUCACUUAGCGGCGGACGGGUGAGUAAUGCUUAGGAAUCUGCCUAUUAGUGGGGGACAACAUCUCGAAAGGGAUGCUAGUACCGCAUACGUCCUACGGGAGAAAGCAGGGGAUCACUUGUGACCUUGCGCUAAUAGAUGAGCCUAAGUCGGAUUAGCUAGUUGGUGGGGUAAAGGCCUACCAAGGCGACGAUCUGUAGCGGGUCUGAGAGGAUGAUCCGGCACGCUGGGACUGAGACACGGCCCAGACUCCUACGGGAGGCAGCAGUGGGGAAUAUUGGACAAUGGGGGGAACCCUGAUCCAGCCAUGCCGCGUGUGUGAAGAAGGCCUUAUGGUUGUAAAGCACUUUAAGCGAGGAGGAGGCUCUUUUGGUUAAUACCCAAGAUGAGUGGACGUUACUCGCAGAAUAAGCACCGGCUAACUCUGUGCCAGCAGCCGCGGUAA